AAACUAACCACUAUCGUUAUUGUCAGAUCGCAUUCCAAUUUAUAGUUACUUUUUCCGCAAUCUUGAUUUCACAUCACCUAACAAAUUUGGCAUCAUAAUUAUUCAAUUUACUUCCACUUUUGGUUGUUUUGGUGCACAUUUAUCAAUUUCUCAGUUUCACUCCAAAGAAUUACUCAUUUACAUGCUUGGAUUGUUUUCUUUUCCCUUCAUUUUCAGAAACGCUUGGGUUGCAAUUGAAAUCUUCUGAGCAAUCCUUGUUCUUAUCGUGGCCACAAUAGACAUGGUUUAUCACUCUAGUUUUGUGAAUGAAGAUGGGGUGAGUAGAGCUUGUGGGUGUCCUCUUCUUCCUCUCAAGAGCCAUAUCAAGGGACCUGCUCCUGUUUCAGAUCAAGAUACAACUGAUAUCGUGGAUGAAGCCAUCACCUUCUUUCGAGCCAAUGUGUUCUUCAGAAACUUUGACAUCAAGAGCCCUGCCGAUAAGCUUCUCAUAUACUUGACUUUUUACAUCAACAUCGCUCUCAAAAGGCUUGAAGGUUGCAGAACCUUGGCUGAAGGAACCAAAGCAAUCAUCAACUUGGGUCUCGAAAAGGUUCCUGUCCCUGGAGAGUCUGGCUUUCCAUUUCCGGGCCUUUUCCCCCUUCCUCAAUCACACGACGAAGCAGGUAUAGCUCUAACCAUGAAGCCGGAUAGGUAUAUCUAAUAUAACUGCCAGAAUAUACAAACAUGGAUUGGAGUGAUACCAAAUGUCCUCAGUGAUCUGAAGAUAUGACUCAAGUCUGGAAAACUAUCAUUCUGAGAGAAUUGCUCAAAAACUAUUUGAAGCAGAUAAGGGAAGAAACAAGUGGGAGGUUAUUAAGCGUUGCAUACAGACCUAACGGCACUCCAAAUAAAUGGUGGUUGGCAUUUGCAAAGAGGAAAUUUAUGAAUAUAAUCAU